rnacentral:tRNA from 1 species
UCGAAUCUUAGUUUAGUAAUAAAGGACAGUGAAAGAAAUGAAGUUUGAACCUCCCGUCCUUUCCAACAAACCA